GAUGAACGCUGGCGGCGUGCCUAAUACAUGCAAGUCGAGCGAACAGAUAAGGAGCUUGCUCCUUUGACGUUAGCGGCGGACGGGUGAGUAACACGUGGGUAACCUACCUAUAAGACUGGGAUAACUUCGGGAAACCGGAGCUAAAACCGGAUAACAUUUGGAACCGCAUGGUUUUAAAGAGAAAGAUGGUUUUGCUAUAACUUAUAGAUGGACACGCGCUGUAUUAGCUAGUUGGUAAGGUAACGGCUUACCAAGGCGACGAUACGUAGCCGACCUGAGAGGAUGAUCGACCACACUGGAACUAGGACGCGGACCAGACUCCUACGAGAGGCAGCAGUAGGGAAUCUUCCGCAAUGGGCAAAAGCCUGACGGAGCAACGCCGCGUAGGUGAUGGAGGUUUUCGGCUCGUAAAACUCUGUUAUUAGGGAAGAACAAAUGUGUAAGUAACUGUGCACGUCUUGACGGUACCUAAUCAGAAAGCCACGGCUAACUACGUG
rnacentral:rRNA from 1 species